rnacentral:rRNA from 1 species
GAUGAACGCUAGCUACAGGCUUAACACAUGCAAGUCGAGGGGAAACGACAUCGCAAGCUUGCUUUUGAUGGGCGUCGACCGGCGCACGGGUGAGUAACGCGUAUCCAACCUGCCCAUCACUUGGGAAUAACCUUGCGAAAGUAAGACUAAUACCCAAUGACAUCCCACGAAGACAUCUGAAUGGGAUUAAAGAUUUAUCGGUGAUGGAUGGGGAUGCGUCUGAUUAGCUUGUUGGCGGGGUAACGGCCCACCAAGGCAACGAUCAGUAGGGGUUCUGAGAGGAAGGUCCCCCACAUUGGAACUGAGACACGGUCCAAACUCCUACGGGAGGCAGCAGUGAGGAAUAUUGGUCAAUGGGCGAGAGCCUGAACCAGCCAAGUAGCGUGCAGGAUGACGGCCCUAUGGGUUGUAAACUGCUUUUAUAAGGGAAUAAAGUGGGUCUCGUGAGACUUUUUGCAUGUACCUGAUGAAUAAGGACCGGCUAAUUCCGUG